rnacentral:rRNA from 1 species
GCUGCAACUCGCCUGCAUGAAGUCGGAAUUGCUAGUAAUCGCGGAUCAGCAUGCCGCGGUGAAUACGUUCCCGGGCCUUGUACACACCGCCCGUCACACCAUGAGAGUCGGUAACACCCGAAGUCAGUAGUCUAACCGAAAGGAGGACGCUGCCGAAGGUGGGAUUGAUGAUUGGGUGAAGUCGUAACAAGGUACC